ACGCGUGGGAAUCUACCCAUCUCUACGGAACAACUCCGGAACUGGAGCUAAUACCGUAUACGUCCUUCGGAGAAAGAUUAUCGGAGAUGGAUGGCCGCGUUGGAUUAGCUAGUUGGUGGGGUAAUGGCCUACCAAGGCGACGAUCCAUAGCUGGUCUGAGAGAUGAUCAGCCACAUUGGGACUGAGACACGGCCCAAACUCCUACGGAGCAGCAGUGGAAUAUUGGACAAUGGGCGAAAGCCUGAUCCAGCCAUGCCGCGUGAGUGAUGAAGGCCCUAGGGUUGUAAAGCUCUUCAACGGUGAAGAUAAUGACGGUAACCGUAGAAGAGCCCCGGCUAACUUCGUGCCAGCAGCCGCGGUAAUACGAAGGCUAGCGUUGUCGGAAUUACUGGGCGUAAAGCGCACGUAGGCGGAUUGUAAGUAGGGUGAAAUCCCAGGGCUCAACCCUGGAACUGCCUUUAAUACUGGCAAUCUCGAGUCCGAGAGAGGUGAGUGGAAUUCCGAGUGUAGAGGUGAAAUUCGUAGAUAUUCGGAGGAACACCAGUGGCGAAGGCGGCUCACUGGCUCGGUACUGACGCUGAGGUGCGAAAGCGUGGGAGCAAACAGGAUUAGAUACCCUGGUAGUCCACGCCGUAAACUAUGAGAGCUAGCCGUCGGCAAGUUUACUUGUCGGUGGCGCAGCUAACGCAUUAAGCUCUCCGCCUGGGAGUACGGUCGCAAGAUUAAAACUCAAAGGAAUUGACGGGCCCGCACAAGCGGUGGAGCAUGUGGUUAAUUCGAAGCAACGCGCAGAACCUUACCAGCCCUUGACAUCCCGGUCGCGGUUCCAGAGAUGGAUACCUUCAGUUCGGCUGGACCGGUGACAGGUGCUGCAUGGCUGUCGUCAGCUCGUGUCGUGAGAUGUUGGGUUAAGUCCCGCAACGAGCGCAACCCUCGCCCUUAGUUGCCAGCAUAAGUUGGGCACUCUAAGGGACUGCCGGUGAUAAGCCGAGAGGAAGGUGGGGAUGACGUCAAGUCCUCAUGGCCCUUACGGGCUGGGCUACACACGUGCUACAAUGGUGGUGACAGUGGCAGCGAGACCGCGAGGUCGAGCUAAUCUCCAAAAACCAUCUCAGUUCGGAUUGCACUCUGCAACUCGAGUGCAUGAAGUUGGAAUCGCUAGUAAUCGCGGAUCAGCAUGCCGCGGUGAAUACGUCCCGGCCUUGUACACACCGCCCGUCACACCAUGGGAGUUGGUUUACCCGAAGGCGCUGUGCUAACCGCAGGAGCAGGCGACCACGG
rnacentral:rRNA from 1 species